GAGGAAGGCAGACCCAGGGAACUGAAACAUCUAAGUACCUGGAGGAAGAGAAAGAAAAAUCGAUUUCCUGAGUAGCGGCGAGCGAAACGGAAAGAGCCCAAACCAAGAAGCUUGCUUCUUGGGGUUGUAGGACACUCUAUACGGAGUUACAAAAGAAAGUUAUAAAUGAAGCGGUCUGGAAAGGCCCGCCAAAGACGGUAACAGCCCGGUAGUUGAAAUGGCUUUCCCUCCAGAGUGGAUCCUGAGUACGGCGGAACACGUGAAAUUCCGUCGGAAUCCGGGAGGACCAUCUCCCAAGGCUAAAUACUCCCUAGUGACCGAUAGUGAACCAGUACCGUGAGGGAAAGGUGAAAAGCACCCCGGAAGGGGAGUGAAACAGUUCCUGAAACCGUGUGCCUACAAGUAGUUAGAGCCCGUUAAUGGGUGAUAGCGUGCCUUUUGUAGAAUGAACCGGCGAGUUACGAUUUGUUGCAAGGUUAAGCGGAAAAAGCGGAGCCGUAGCGAAAGCGAGUCUGAAUAGGGCGCAUAAGUAACAGGUCGUAGACCCGAAACCAGGUGAUCUACCCAUGUCCAGGAUGAAGGUAAGGUAAUACUUACUGGAGGUCCGAACCCACGCACGUUGAAAAGUGCGGGGAUGAGGUGUGGGUAGCGGAGAAAUUCCAAUCGAACUUGGAGAUAGCUGGUUCUCUCCGAAAUAGCUUUAGGGCUAGCCUCGAGGUAAAGAGUCAUGGAGGUAGAGCACUGUUUGGACUAGGGGCCCUUCUCGGGUUACCGAAUUCAGAUAAACUCCGAAUGCCAUGUACUUAUACUCGGGAGUCAGACUGCGAGUGAUAAGAUCCGUAGUCGAAAGGGAAACAGCCCAGACCACCAGUUAAGGUCCCCAAAUAUAUGUUAAGUGGAAAAGGAUGUGGGGUUGCUUAGACAACCAGGAUGUUGGCUUAGAAGCAGCCACCAUUGAAAGA
rnacentral:rRNA from 1 species